AAUGAACGUUGGCGGCGUGGAUUAGGCAUGCAAGUCGAGCGUGUACCCGCAAGGGGAAAGCGGCAAACGGGGUAGGAACGCGUAGGUCACGUACCCCUCGGCCGGGGAUAGCCACGGGAAACUGUGGGUAAUACCCGAUGACGCCGAGAGGCCAAAGGUGUGAUUCCGCCGGGGGAGCGGCCUGCGUAGUAUUAGCUAGUUGGUGAGGUAACGGCUCACCAAGGCGAAGAUGCUUAGGGGGUGUGAGAGCAUGACCCCCACCACUGGGACUGAGAUACUGCCCAGACACCUACGGGUGGCUGCAGUCGAGAAUCUUCGGCAAUGGGGGCAACCCCGACCGAGCGACGCCGCGUGUGGGAUGAAGGCCCUUGGGUUGUAAACCACUGUCAGAGGGGAUGAAACGAUCAUGGGUUCUCCCAUGGUCCUGACAUAGCCUCAGAGGAAGCACGGGCUAAGUUCGUGCCAGCAGCCGCGGUAAUACGAACUGUGCAAACGUUUAUUCGGAAUCACUGGGCGUUAAA
rnacentral:rRNA from 1 species